GCAUGCAUAGUCUAGUGGUAAGAUUGCUCUCUCCCAAGGAGCAGACCCGGGUUCGAUUCCCGGUGCACGCA